AGCGAACGCUGGCGGCAGGCCUAACACAUGCAAGUCGAACGACGUCUUCGGACUGAGUGGCGGACGGGUGAGUAACACGUGGGAACGUACCUUUUGGUUCGGAACAACUCAGGGCAACUUGAGCUAAUACCGGAUGAGCCCUUAGGGGGAAAGAUUUAUCGCCGAAAGAGCGGCCCGCGUUAGAUUAGCUAGUUGGUGAGGUAAAGGCUCACCAAGGCUACGAUCUAUAGCUGGUCUGAGAGGAUGAUCAGCCACACUGGGACUGAGACACGGCCCAGACUCCUACGGGAGGCAGCAGUGGGGAAUCUUGCGCAAUGGGCGAAAGCCUGACGCAGCCAUGCCGCGUGAAUGAUGAAGGUCUUAGGAUUGUAAAAUUCUUUUACCAGGGACGAUAAUGACGGUACCUGGAGAAAAAGCCCCGGCUAACUUCGUGCCAGCAGCCGCAGUAA
rnacentral:rRNA from 1 species